UUGCACAAUGGGCGGAAGCCUGAUGCAGCGACGCCGCGUGGGGGAUGACGGCCUUCGUGUUGUAAACCUCUUUCGACAGGGACGAAGUGAAAAUGACGGUACCUGUAUAAGAAGCACCGGCUAAACUAACGUGCCAGCAGCCGCGGUAAUACGUAGGGUGCGAGCGUUGUCCGGAAUUACUGGGCGUAAAGAGCUCGUAGGUGGUUUGUCACGUCGUCUGUGAAAUUCCGGGGCUUAACCUCGGGCGUGCAGGCGAUACGGGCAAUACUUGAGUGCUGUAGGGGAGACUGGAAUUCCUGGUGUAGCGGUGAAAUGCGCAGAUAUCAGGAGGAACACCAAUGGCGAGGCAGGUCUCUGGGCAGUUACUGACGCUGAGGAGCGAAGCAUGGGUAGCGAACAGGAUCAGAUACCCUGGUAGUCCAUGCCGUAAACGGUGGGCGCUAGGUGUAGGGGACUUCCACGUUCUCUGUGCCGUAGCUAACGCAUUAAGCGCCCCGCCUGGGGAGUACGGCCGCAAGGUAAAAACUCAAAGGAAUUGACGGGGGCCCGCACAAGCGGCGGAGCAUGUGGAUUAAUUCGAUGCAACGCGAAGAACCUUACCUGGGCUUGACAUACACCGGACCGGCGUAGAGAUACGUCUUCCCUUGUGGCCGGUGUACAGGUGGUGCAUGGUUGUCGUCAGCUCGUGUCGUGAGAUGUUUGGGUUUAAGUCCCGCAACGAGCGCAACCCUUGUCUUAUGUUGCCAGCACGUGAUGGUGGGGACUCAUGAGAGACUGCCGGGGUCAACUCGGAGGAAGGUGGGGAUGACGUCAAAUCAUCAUGCCCCUUAUGUCCAGGGCUUCACACAUGCUACAAUGGUCGGUACAGCAGGUCGCGAACUCGUGAGAGUAAGCCAAUCCUUCAAAGCCGGCCYCAGUUCGGAUUGGGGUCUGCAACUCGACCCCAUGAAGUCGGAGUCGCU
rnacentral:rRNA from 1 species